AUUGAACGCUGGCGGAAUGCUUUACACAUGCAAGUCGAGCGGCAGCACGGGGGCAACCCUGGUGGCGAGCGGCGAACGGGUGAGUAAUACAUCGGAACAUGCCCAGUCGUGGGGGAUAACACUUCGAAAGAAGUGCUAAUACCGCAUACGUCCUGAGGGAGAAAGCGGGGGAUCGCAAGACCUCGCGCGAUUGGAGUGGCCGAUGUCAGAUUAGCUAGUUGGUGGGGUAAAGGCCUACCAAGGCAACGAUCUGUAGCUGGUCUGAGAGGAUGAUCGGCCACACUGGGACUGAGACACGGCCCAGACUCCUACGGGAGGCAGCAGUGGGGAAUUUUGGACAAUGGGGGCAACCCUGAUCCAGCCAUUCCGCGUGAGUGAAGAAGGCCUUCGGGUUGUAAAGCUCUUUCGGCAGGAACGAAACGGUGAGCUCUAACAUAGCUUGCUAAUGACGGUACCUGAAGAAGAAGCACCGGCUAACUACGUGCCAGCCGCCGCGGUAAUAC
rnacentral:rRNA from 1 species